AUAGAUUUGUGCCCAAGGACAGGAGGGUGGGUAUGAGGUCAUUACAAAGAAACAAGGUGUAACACAUCCAUAUGUUCUAUUGUGGGGAUUAAAUCCAUAGCAGGCUGCUAAUACUCCUAUUAAUUUCUAUUUUUCAUUGUUGUUUGCACAUUUGUCAAGCUCCGAUGAAGGGAUAAUGAAGCGAGCUGAUGUUAACUGCAAAUUAAUCAGCCCUGUCUGUCUUGGAGUGUAACACAGGUUCCUGCUUGCUUCCCCUCUUCACUCAGGAACGAUAACACGCUUUUUACAUCGCCACCAGGAGAACCUCCUGGAUGCUGCGACGGAGCAGAGAAAGAGAGGAAAAACAAAGAAUGAGAGACACCCUGGCUGAGAAACUUUCAAUUCUCCUUGAAACUGUCGAGUUUGAAUUGUAAGAAAGCUGAGGAAGCUGAGCUCGUGCUAAUUUUGCAAGAGGAGCUUGUUGGAAACGCCGUGUGGGCCAUGGGCAGAUCCUUGAGGCACCAGGAGAUCACAGAGCUGGAGAGCCCCUAAAAGAGCCACGGAAGCACGAUGCAAACAGCCUCCUCUUACCGCCUUUGGGAAUGCUCAGGUCUCAGGUGGAUUUGUGUCCUCAGGGAGGUUCUGGCUCAGGGGAAGCAUGGGAGAUGCUUGGUUGGAUGUCUCGGGAGCUGCUGCACACUGACCUGUUGGUUUGUCCUAGCUGCUUUACACCAGCAGUAUAAGACAUACAAUGGGUAUUUUUUUCCCACCUCCCACCUUUGCAGUCUCCCAGGGCUCCCAUUUGGACUCCAGGGUCCCACUGAGACCAUGACAGAAAUGUUUUAAGUGCUGUUCUAAAGCUGGGUUUAGCAGCAUAGAUGCUCUUUAACGCACAGCAUUUCAGAGAGCGUGUCCCUUUCUCUCCGUUACGGAAUGGCUGUCUGCAGGGAUGGAAUUCCAGCUCCCAUCUCACCACACCAUUAUUGACAGGCGUGCUUGGUGCAUUAUUUAGGUGAUAUAUGGCACGUGCCACAUGGGAACCACCAGGACAGGGAAAGUGUUGUCAUCCCCAACAGGCCCAGGGAUCCCGCCCCUGCAUCAGGAGGGUGACAGAGCCUUGGAAGGGCAUUCAGGGAGUGAUGAGCAGUGUUGGUACACAAGGGGACCAUCAUGAGGUUCCCACGUGGAAGAGUCCAGCAGGACACAUGCAGGGAGUCCCUGGGGGUGGCUGGUCUUGUGGUGUUUCCUGGUCACUGCUGGAGGGUGGUUGCUGAGGGCACCCACACUUCUGGCUCUGGCACGGGCUGGCCAGAGAAGCUGUGUCUGCCUCAUCCCUGGAAGUGCUGGAUGGGGCUUGGAGCAGCCUGGUCCAGUGGAAAGUGUCCCUGCCCAUGGCAGGAGGUGGAACUGGGUGACCUUGAAGGUCCUCCCAACCCAAGCCAUCCUGAGUUUCUGUGGGUUCACAGAUACAAACGGAGGUGUUGGCCAGGGCCAGUGAUGCUGAUAAGAGUCAAGGAAACACUACAGAAGCAGUGUCUCCAGACUGGUCUGAUUCCUACAGCCUUUGGCUGUCCCAGCACAGGACUCCAGAGGGGAGGGAAGCUCAGCUGAAGAUGCUCUGUGACAGCCUCAGAGGGAAUCUGGUCUGAUGGUCCUCUUGAACUGCUGCAUCUCCUGCUCUCAGAGCGCACUGGCAGCACUUGUGAAAUAGGAAAAGCCUGCAGAGCCUGUGGUGCUCUGUGUGAGGUGAGGGAUUCAUUCCCACUGCUCCAGGAAGCUCAUAUAGGGAAGAUUUCCUGCACUAUUGUAAGAGCCAUAAUGUGGUCUUAAAAGAAACCCAAUGACUGUGCCUCUGUGGGAAGCACAGGUGAGGACUCCCGAGUUCCAUGAGCAGCGGGAGGGCUCUGACCCACCUUCAUUAGUGCUGCUGUCUGUGCGAGGUGAGUAAUUGCAGCACCCGCUGUGCUGAGGAGCCUCCUGGAGAGGUUCAAUUAGGAGGCAGCAGCUGAUGAGCUGCAGUGUGGGGAGCUCGGGGAGCCUUUCCCAGAUAAGUCACAGGAGCCAGCCCUUGUACCACACUCGUCACUGGCUGGUGUCAAAGUGCUCCGUGAAGUGCUGCUGCCCUUACACAGAUGAGCAAAAAGGCUUCCCAGGGCUGCCUGGAGGGCCAGAUGUGGAGAGGGGCUUCUGUGUCCUGGAGCAGGAUCCCUGGCCUCCGUGUUGGCACAGGGAGACGUGUACAAGUCCUGGCUGGAAAACAGCAAAGCAUCAUCUGGCCCUUGCAGCCCAAAAGGCAGAGGUAAAUAAGAUGUGGGAAUAAAGUCCUGGACGGAUUUCAACCACCCCUGUUGUCUCUGGGGAGAUUGACAGUACCUCCAUCAGCUCUUGGAAGCUGUCCCCCCCUUUGCCUUCACUCCAUGGGAAAAUCUCCGUCUCCCACUCGUCUUCAGCUUCUUCUACUGCAGGGAGGGGCUGCAGCUGCUUCCAGCACAGGACCUCCAAGUAGACACGGCUGCUCUGCUUCCCUGGUGCGUUUCAGCAGCCCUUUCCAGCUCCACCAAUCAUCCAUCUUGGCCCUCUACCCCUCCAGAGCUACUGGAAUCUGUGCUGCUGUCUCUUCUCAGGGCCAGUGUCUCCCAGGGGGUUCCCCUGGGGUCCUGGCUCUCUCACAAACCAGAACAGGUGGUUCAUGGCAAAUAGACUUCAUCCUUUCCACCAAGGCCAGCAGUUUCUGGGUGUUGGUAGCCUGAGGCUACCUUGUCCAGGUGGAAAUUGUCUUCUGCACUCAGGAGCUGCAGGGUAUAAACCCCAAAGGUGCCAAUGAGCUGAAAGAGCAGGAGCUGUGCUUCGGUGUAAAUGAACCCUGCUGACUGCUGUUCUGUAUCUGCCUGUGCUGCUGCUUUAUGAUGUCUGUGCUUUUCUAUCUCCAGCGUGUUGCUGCAGAGGUCCCCGUUUGCCUUGAAGCUCAGAGCAAAGGAAUUUGAAAAGGUGUGCCAGGGAAAGCUCCCGUGAACUCCUGACAAGGAGGUCAGAGAGGACACAGGAGAUUCUGGAGGUCACAAGAACAGCAGAGAAGCAAAAUAUCACCUUGGGGUGUCUGUGGCUGUGUCCCUCUGAAGUGACAGUCCUGAUCCUGUGCCUGCCACCAAACUCCACCAGCCUGGGCAUCCAGUGACCAAAAGUUGCUGCAGCACCAGAGUCAGCCAAAGCCCCACCGGGGUGUUGGGAGAGGCUGGUGAUGAGGAGACUUCUGCCUGAUGGGAGGCAGGACAGUGAUUUCAUGGCUUUUUUUGGGCUCUGUGGUGUCUUGUAAUGAGAAGAUGCUCAAAAGUCUUGCCUGCCCUCUCAGCUUGCAGCGUGGGGGGAUGGAGGCUGAGGGAAAACCAGUGGGAAAAUGUUUACAAGCCUGAGUGAGGCCCCUCUAAAGGAGGAUUUAAUCUGCAGGAUGUUAUUAUCUCUGCUAGGUUUUCUGUAUCUUAGGUACUCAAUAAAUGAUUGCUAAAGUAA